UAGCGAACCAAGGGGAGCCCCGGCAGGGGGCUGAGAGGCGGACAGGCUGGCAUCAAGCCCGGCGGCGACCGCGACCCUCAUGAACCUGAUCCGGGUUAUGCCGGCGGAGGGAUGGAUGAACGUCUCAGA
rnacentral:ncRNA from 2 species